rnacentral:rRNA from 1 species
GACAGAGGUCCCGAGCGUUAGGCGGAAUCACUGGGCUUAAAGCGUGUGUAGGCGGAUCGUUAAGUGCCUUGUGAAAUCCCAUGGCUUAACCAUGGAACUGCUUGGCAUACUGGCGAUCUUGAGCCACUUAGGGGCAACCGGAACAAAUGGUGGAGCGGUGAAAUGCGUAGAUAUGUGGAGGAACACCGAUGGCGAAGGCAGCCCCCUGGGUCAAGACUGACGCUCAUGCACGAAAGCGUGGGGAGCAAACAGG